CCUGCUCAAUGACUUAAAUAGCCGCUCCAAGUGCUAAGGUAGCAUAAUAAAUUGCUUUCUAAUUAAAAGAUAGAAUGAAAGGAAACCCGAUUUAUCAACUGUAUCUAACCAAAACCCUAAAAUUAUAAACUUAGUAAAAAUCCUAUUUCAUAUAUAAGAAGGACGACAAGACCCUAUCGAACUUUUCUUAUUAAAUUUUACUGGGAAGGUAAAAAACUAAAUCUUUUUCUUACCCCCAAUAAACGCUACCACUCGAAUGAAAUAAGUUACCGUAGGGAUAACAGCAUAAUAAUUUAAAAAAGUUCUUAUAAAAUAAAUUGAUUAUGACCUCGAUGUUGAAUUAACUAACCUAAUUUCAGAAAAAAGUAAAAAAGGAAGUCUGUUCGACUUUUAAAAUGUUACAU
rnacentral:rRNA from 1 species